AACGAACGCUGGCGGCAGGCCUAACACAUGCAAGUCGAACGCCCCGCAAGGGGGGUGGCAGACGGGUGAGUAACGCGUGGGAACCUACCUUUCGGUGCGGAAUAACUCCGGGAAACCGGAGCUAAUACCGCAUACGCCCUUCGGGGGAAAGAUUUAUCGCCGAUAGAUGGGCCCGCGUCGGAUUAGCUUGUUGGUGAGGUAACGGCUCACCAAGGCGACGAUCCGUAGCUGGUCUGAGAGGAUGAUCAGCCACACUGGGACUGAGACACGGCCCAGACUCCUACGGGAGGCAGCAGUGGGGAAUAUUGGACAAUGGGCGCAAGCCUGAUCCAGCCAUGCCGCGUGAGUGAAGAAGGCCUUAGGGUUGUAAAGCUCUUUUAGUGGGGACGAUAAUGACGGUACCCACAGAAUAAGCCCCGGCUAACUUCGUGCCAGCCGCCGCCGUAAAAC
rnacentral:rRNA from 1 species